rnacentral:rRNA from 1 species
AUAAUGGGUCAGCGACUUAUAUUCUGUAGCAAGGUUAACCGAAUAGGGGAGCCGAAGGGAAACCGAGUCUUAACUGGGCGUUAAGUUGCAGGGUAUAGACCCGAAACCCGGUGAUCUAGCCAUGGGCAGGUUGAAGGUUGGGUAACACUAACUGGAGGACCGAACCGACUAAUGUUGAAAAAUUAGCGGAUGACUUGUGGCUGGGGGUGAAAGGCCAAUCAAACCGGGAGAUAGCUGGUUCUCCCCGAAAGCUAUUUAGGUAGCGCCUCGUGAAUUCAUCUCCGGGGGUAGAGCACUGUUUCGGCAAGGGGGUCAUCCCGACUUACCAACCCGAUGCAAACUGCGAAUACCGGAGAAUGUUAUCACGGGAGACACACGGCGGGUGCUAACGUCCGUCGUGAAGAGGGAAACAACCCAGACCGCCAGCUAAGGUCCCAAAGUCAUGGUUAAG